rnacentral:tRNA from 1 species
UCGGGGAUCGUCUAAUGGCAGGACAGUACCCUUUGAAGGUACUUAUCUUGGUUCGAAUCCAAGUCCCCGAA